rnacentral:rRNA from 1 species
GGGGGGGGGGGCAAGCGUUGUUCGGAAUUACUGGGCGUAAAGGGCGCGUAGGCGGGCAAGACAGUCUUUCGUGAAAUCCCACGGGCUCAACCGUGGAACUGCGGGAGAUACUACUUGUCUUGAGUUCGGGAGAGGAGUGUGGAAUUCCCAGUGUAGCGGUGAAAUGCGUAGAUAUUGGGAGGAACACCGGUGGCGAAGGCGGCACUCUGGACCGUUACUGACGCUGAGGCGCGAAAGCUAGGGGAGCAAACGGGAUUAGAUACCCCGGUAGUCCUAGCUGUAAACGAUGAGCACUUGGUGUAGCGGGUAUCGACCCCUGCUGUGCCGGAGUUAACGCAUUAAGUGCUCCGCCUGGGGAGUACGGUCGCAAAGGCUG